CCUACGGUGUGCAGCAGUGGGGAAUCUUGGGCAAUGGACGCAAGUCUGACCCAGCAACGCCGCGUGAAGGAAGAAGGCUUUCGGGUCGUAAACUUCUGUUAAGGGGGAAGAGCAGAAGACGGUACCCCUUGAAGAAGCUACGGCUAACUACGUGCCAGAAGCCGCGGUAAUACGUAGGUGGCAAGCGUGGUCCGGAGUUACUGGGGGUAAAGGUCGUGCAGCCGGAGAGACAAGUCAGAUGUGAAAUCCACGGGCUCAACCCGUGAACUGCAUUUGAAACUGUUUCCGUUGAGUGUUGGAGAGGUGAUCGGAAUUCCUUGUGUAGCGGUGAAAUGCGUAGAUAUCAGGAAGAACACCAGUGGCGAAGGCGGAUUACUGGCCGAUAACUGACGGUGAGGCGCGAAAGCGUGGGGAGCAAACAGGAUUAGAUACCCUUGUAGUC
rnacentral:rRNA from 1 species